GAAGCGAUGUUGAGUCGUGGUGGGAGAGAGUGUAAUGUUAGGCGUUAUCGGGCGAUCGGAUUUUGGGGAAAGAAAGAGAUUUUUUGACGUUAUUUUUACAUGUUUAAUAUACUUUCAAUAAGUACUCGCUUAAUAUUAUCUGGCAGAUUUUGUAGUGGACUUCAGUAAUUCUCUUACUGGUGGGUUUUCAAAAGAAAAUUCGUCAAAAUCCAAACACUUAGCCAGGACGCCAUAUUUGAGGGCUUAACGUAACGCUACUUUCGAGUGAAGCAGUUGAACGUCAUUAUUACAAGCUACGGUGGCGCCUAUAUGCAAGUAAAUAGUAGCACGUGGAUUUUCCGUGUCACAUUCAAGUUUUAACGGUGCAAAAAUACGGUACUGGAAACUCAUUGGUUUGUUGAAAAGAAAACGAACUUAUUAUUAGUAAGCCCAGGAUUUUUUAUGUACUGUUUUAUAAAUAACUUAAAUGUGACGAAAGAUUAGGUUUUCUUGUACAUUUUAUAUAGUUGCAAUUAGAUUUCCAGUAAUUUAUUGUGACAAACUUUAUGUUUUAGUAGCAGACUAGCUUUGCAAGGGUAUGAAAGCAUUUAUAAACUGUCUUGUGAAAUAGAAGUCGUACUCAUAGACAAAAGAAAAAAAAAUUGCGAUCUUCACUCCAGUCCUCUCUGUUGCUUUUAUAUGUAGUAUUUGUUAAAACGUUAUUGAAAUAUAUAACGUGUAUAGUGGAUGCUAUUUUUUCUACCUAGCUUACCAAUUUCAUGGUUUUGUACUGCUAGAAAAGUUUCAAUUCAACACACUGUAUUGUCUUCUGAUAUUGGUGCCACAAAUUUCAGAAAGAAGACUGAACUGGUUAUAAUGUGUACAUCCAAACCCUCGUAUUUUUAUAGGAUGAUUUUAAUAGAUUCAGACUGAUGUCUGAAAGUUUUCUUGAUGUGCUUGAUAAAGUAUACUUAUAACUUGAGUUUUGAAAUAUUUUAUUAAUUUGUUUUAAUUGAUCAAAAGUAAAGACUAAAAUGGCUUCAGGGACAUUUGUUCAGUCACUGGCAGUAGAUUUGGUAUGUGAUGGUGAAGAUGCAUGUAGUAAGCGUUCUGAAAAUUAUCAGGGAGCAAUAUCGGAACAGAAACUGGAUGACUGUAGUACAGCAUUUAAUGGAAGCUCUCUUUCUAAAAGAAGCAUAAUGCAACGACAAAAUUCAACAUACAGAAGAAAAGAAAGUGGAAUACCGAACCAGCAAUUUCAAAAAGGACAUUGUAUUAAAAGACGACAUACAUUUAGUGGACCUGACUUAAGGUAUCUCCCAAAGAAGCGUCGUAAAAAUGAACUGUUUGCUCGUCCUAGAAAAUUCCUUCUUGGUGGUAGCAUUACUGAUCCUUUGAACUUGCAAAGUUUGGAAGAUGAAGAAGUGAACAGGCGUGUUAAUGAAAAAACACCCUAUUCAUCUCCUGUUCCCACUCCUAAGCAUCACACCCAGGUUGAGGUGCUUAUCCCACCAAAUAUAAAUGAUCCAUUGAACUUGAACUCUGGAGAAGAAAUUGACUUUGGUUUGCUGUCUCCAAAUUCAAAGCGCCGUCACCGUCAUCGUCAGAAACGAAAGCGCUCUGAGAGUCAAGAGGCUAAAGCUGAAAUAAAAACUGAGAAUGAAAGUGAGGAAGGACUGUUGUGUAAACAAAACAAACCAGAAGAAAUUCAAAAAUGUGAUGAGACUAAUGAGAAGGUGGAAACAGAAGUUGAGGUUGGACCAGACAUAAUUGUGUCUCCUGCAGUGCCACAAGGUUCAGCAAACAAAGUUUUCCGGAAGAAUGUUCCAAAAAGUUCCUGUGAUGACUGUCAAAAAGAAGAAAGAGAAGAUACCCAGCAGAAACGUGGUCGUUCCAGGCGAAAAUCAAGAAAUGCAGAACCACCAAAUUUCAAACAGAAAAAUGCCCAGUUUCAGUUUGGUAAUUACAACAGGUACUAUGGCUACAGAAAUCAGCAGGCCGAAGAUCAACGGCUUAAAUGCAUGAGAAGGGAGUGGUUUGAGAACAAGGACGUAUUGGACAUUGGCUGCAAUGUUGGCCAUUUGACCCUAAGCUUAGCCAAGGAUUAUAACCCAAGAAAAAUUAUUGGACUUGAUAUUGAUGAACAGUUGAUUAGGGUUGCACGGCGAAACGUUCGUCAUUACAUAACAGCAGAACUAUCAAAAGGGGCAGAAUUUCCGAUAUCGAUGCUGUUAUGUCACGGCCCAAUUGCAGCAGCAGCUUUGCCAGGAAGGCAGGACAAACCCUCGCAUUUUCCAAAUAAUGUGUUCUUUAUUCAGGGUAACUAUGUGUUGGAAAGUGAUGAAGUGCUUGAGGCACAACAACCAGAAUUUGAUUGUAUUCUCUGCUUGAGUCUCACAAAAUGGAUUCAUCUAAAUUGGGGGGAUGAAGGGUUGAAGAGAGUCUUUCGGAGGAUGUAUGCCCAGCUUCGUCCUGGAGGAAGAGUGAUCCUGGAAGCACAAGCUUGGAAGUCUUAUGCCAGGAAGAAGAAACUGACAGAGACCAUUUUUAAAAAUUAUCAAAAUAUAAAAUUUCGUCCAGAGCAGUUCAAUGAGUAUCUGUUAUCAAAAGAAGUUGGAUUUUCAACCUGCAUGUUAGUAGACAUGCCAGCCCACCCAUCAAAAGGUAAGAUUUAUACCUGUUAGUUAGUAGACAUGCCAGUCCACCCAUCAAAAGGUAAGAUUUAUACCUGUUGGUAAGUAGACAUGCCAGCCAACCCAUCAAAAGGUAAGAUUUAUACCUGUUACUUAGUAGACAUGCCAGCCCACCCAUCAAAAGGUAAGAUUUAUACCUGUUGGUUAAGUAGACAUGCCAGCCCACCCAUCAAAAGGAUUUUGUCGGCCGAUUUACAUUUUCACCAAAGCUGAAUCUGCUUCUGGGCCAUUGAACGAAGAAAGAAAUUCAAUGAAAUGUGGAGAUAACUUGUAAAUUUCUCAGUCAUAAGAUAAUUCCAUGUGAAUUC